GUUAAAAAUCAGACUAUAAUAUCGAAAUCGUACAUUGACAAACGAAUCGAAUUGUCUAUCGGAUUUCGAAAAUCGAACGUCUUAGCCGUACAGGAAUGUUAACGGCCGUGUGUACGCACACCUUUUCCGGGACAACGCAAAGCGACAAACAAUUCAGUCGGAUCGGAAUGAUUGCGGAAUAGGUUAUGUGCGUCGUGUAAGCUAAGCCAAUCAAGUUGCGCAAAAGAUAUCGUACAAGUGGAUGAGAGGAAGGCAACCGACAACCAUCGAGAAGAGGAUCACCAGAAGAAAUUCUCUGGCGUAACGUCGACCUCCGUUCUCUACUCCCUCCCAUUCGAGACCGUUUUCCCUUUAUACUCUCGAUGGUAAAGUCCCAAUCGCGUUUCCAUCGCGAUGUGCUCAUGUGCCACCUCUGUCGCCUGUUGCCGUCAUUGCCGUUGCGAGGAAACAAGCCGAGUAUAAGAGAAGAAGGGAUGGACCAGGACAGGAUGAGAAGGGUGAAGAGAAAUGUUCUUCGAGAGUUCAUCGCUUAUUAUGUAAGCAACUGAUUGUAGGUGAGUUUGACGCGAGCGGGAAGGAAAUAUACCGUUUGGACCGCAGUAGAAAGCUCGAGGACGGUGGGGUAUCGGUGGUGGAUGACGUAAUCGGACAAGAGGUCUCUUAAUUGGCUCGGCGUCUAGCGCGUUAGGAUCAAUUGUGGACGUAAUGCGAGGCAGAACGGUGCAGAGUAACGCAGCGUGACGAAGCGCGAGGCAGCUUACGCCGACGCAGCUUCCCACACUGGCGUGUCUCGAACGGCGCCUUCGACCAGCUUCCGAUGUAACAGGUUCAUGUAGCAGAAGCUGGAGAAUUUCUGAGAGUCUAAAAGACAUGUAAUACGAUGGCAGACGAGGAGUUAAUGCGCCGAGUCAAACGAACUUCCGGGUCUUCGGCGACCCUCGUUUGUCUCGGAAGCCAAAGAAGUCACAAGGAGCCGUUACGUAGUGGCAUCGAAGCAUUAAGGCAUCAAGGCGUUCGAGUCUUUCGAUUGCCGUGUCUUUCCCAUCACCAGGGAAAUAUAACCUAGUCUUUUUCAAUCUUUUCACUAUUUCUUUUUUUUCCUUUUGUUGUUAAGAAACAAACUAAGAAACGAAUAAUUAAUUAAAAUAAUAAUUAAGAAACAAUUAAGAAAAAAAUAAAAGUAAAUGAAAAAAAGUGAAAGGAAUAGAAUUCUUAUAUAUGCAUAUAAUAUAUAAUAUAUUUUAAAUUAAGUUACAUAAUUUAAAGUCACUUGUACACAUAUUUUAUUUAAAAAAAAUUGCACUUUUUAAAAAAAUUUGAAAUAUUGGGACAUUCAUUGAAAAGAAAAGACUGUUUGAAAAAACAAAAUAAAAAGUCAUAUGAAAUAGAA